rnacentral:precursor_RNA from 1 species
AGCAGGUUAGUUCUGGAGUAACAUUUUGCAUUUAUAAGGGGAGAAGUGCAUCCCGAAUAUGCUUGCAUUGUUACUCAAGGUGAUCAGGAGACUGCA